rnacentral:rRNA from 1 species
UACGUAGGGGGCUAGCGUUAUCCGGAAUUACUGGGCGUAAAGGGUGCGUAGGUGGUUUCUUAAGUCAGAGGUGAAAGGCUACGGCUCAACCGUAGUAAGCCUUUGAAACUGGGAAACUUGAGUGCAGGAGAGGAGAGUGGAAUUCCUAGUGUAGCGGUGAAAUGCGUAGAUAUUAGGAGGAACACCAGUUGCGAAGGCGGCUCUCUGGACUGUAACUGACACUGAGGCACGAAAGCGUGGGGAGCAAAUAGGAUUAGAUACCCUGGUAGUCCCUGA